AUAGCGUUAAGUAAGAAUGUAUUGUUUUUAAACUCUAUUUUUAUUUUUUUUUAUUAUUCUAAUUAGUGUAUUAGAAAGAGACGCUUUAGACGAAUUACAAAACGAAUUGCGACAAACAACAAGCGAGCGAAAUCAAUAUAAACGAGAAAUUACCAUAUUAAGAAGCGAUUACGAAGCCCUAAAAAAGAUAGUGGAAGAUAAAAAAGAAGAAAUUGCAAGCUAGACAAGAAGAAAUAAAUAAAUAAAUAAAUAAAAUUUCAGAAAAUUCUCUUCAGAUCUCACACCCACUUCUUAAGAAACCAAA